GAUGAACGCUGGCGGCGUGCCUAAUACAUGCAAGUCGAGCGAACAGACGAGGAGCUUGCUCCUCUGACGUUAGCGGCGGACGGGUGAGUAACACGUGGAUAACCUACUUAUAAGACGGGGAUAACUUCGGGAAACCGGAGCUAAUACCGGAUAAUAUAUUGAACCGCAUGGUUCAUUAGUGAAAGACGGUUUUGCUGUCACUUAUAGAUGGAUCCGCGCCGCAUUAGCUAGUUGGUAAGGUAACGGCUUACCAAGGCAACGAUGCGUAGCCGACCUGAGAGGGUGAUCGGCCACACUGGAACUGAGACACGGUCCAGACUCCUACGGGAGGCAGCAGUAGGGAAUCUUCCGCAAUGGGCGAAAGCCUGACGGAGCAACGCCGCGUGAGUGAUGAAGGUCUUCGGAUCGUAAAACUCUGUUAUUAGGGAAGAACAAAUGUGUAAGUAACUAUGCACGUCUUGACGGUACCUAAUCAGAAAGCCACGGCUAACUACGUG
rnacentral:rRNA from 1 species